rnacentral:rRNA from 1 species
AUCCUUCUAGAGGAGCCUGUCCUGUAACCGAUACUCCCCGUUAAACCUCACCACUUUUAGUCUUCAGUCUGUAUACUUCCGUCGCCAGCUUACCGUGUGAGCGAAUAGUAAGCUAAAUGUUAGUGAUCAAUACGUCAGGUCAAAGUGCAGCAAAUAGAGUGGCAAGAGAUGGGCUACACUUUCUACUAUAGAAGAUACGAAAGACUUUAUGAAACACUGUCAGAAGGUGGAUUUAGUAGUAAGAUGAAGAUAGAGCAUUCGUCUUAAUUUGGCACUGGGGUGUGUACACACCGCCCGUCACCCUCUUCAACUAAACUCAAUAGUACUUAACAA